UAACCAGUUGUUUACUCCUUGAUUCUAUUAAUAUUCAUCACAGUCAGAGUGUGUUAAAUAUCUGAAGAAAAUAUAUCUAACGUCUUUAGUAGAUGAUAAUUUAACUACACGUUACGAAACAUCUUAUAUCCGUUAAUUUGAUACGGGUGGUCGUCUCGUACGGACAGCCGUACUGUAUACAUACAGUAACUCUUUACAGUAGGCCUACUGUAACAGAUCGGCCUUGGUCUGAAUGUGACAGCCAUAGAGACGGACUGUUGUAGAUGUAGGGUAUUUUGUUACGUUUCGUGUUUUGAAGCGACUGGAAUACGUACAACAUGUGUUUUAAAGUGAAGUGCCAAAAAUGUCAAAAAUUUACGUGGAGUGGUUGUGGGAAGCAUAUUGAGGUGGUACUUGACGGGGUAGCUGAUGAAGAUAGAUGUAAAUGUCCACGAAUGACACUGUUUGACUGGCUAAGGCAACAGGCUGGAGGAGGAUUAUGGAAUACUCAAAGAGACUACUACUUCAGGAUGAAAUCUCAGAACUGUUCAUUUUCAUGUACCAUGGGACAUUUCUUUAUUGCAUUUGAGCAGAUACAUAUUUUGCAAUAAACUAUUAGUUUCAAAAAUAAUAAAAGAAGACAGAAAGGAGGAUAUGUGUUUCUCCAAGCAUAGACUGAACCUGUAUAUUUAUUCAAUAUUUUUCGUAGUUUCAAAUUAUUCCAGUCAAAAUUAACCCUUUCUGUAACCAUAUCAGUAGCACAAAUCAUUCAUAAAAGGGCUUUCCAAACAAUUCAAUUCUAUUUUUUGUGAUGUUAGUAGAAAUAUGUAUAUGCUUUAUGUGUUUGUAAUGUAAAAUGUACGUGUUACCUUGAAUAUCCAGCAGAUAAACAGCUGAAAAUAAUUGUUAAAUGUUCUGUAUACAUCUGAAUGUGAAAAGUAUAGAUUAUUUGAUUUUGGAAACUCUUUCUGAAUUCUUUUCUCUCCACAAAAAUUUCUACCAUGUAAUUUGUCGAUCAACAAUUUCCAGACUUUUCAACCGAGAAAAGUUCAGGUAGAAUUUUAUUUAGUCAGCACACUUUUUUUUAUUGAUAGACUUAUUUCUAUGGAACCUAUCUUAAUUUGCUUUAAUUAAUUGUCAUCAAGCUGUAUAUUCACAAAAGAUUGUUAAACUUCCUUUAGUUGACAUAUUAUUGUGAAGUCUGUAUAUAUGAUUGUAUUACAAUCCAAAGACGAUUCUUCAAUGCAGUUUUUUCUAGUGAUGACCAAGUUUUUGCAUUAUUUUUAUAUGUAUUGAGGUCUCGGCUGGCAAUUAUUUGAUGUGCUGGAAUAUCCAUGUGCCAUCCAUAUAGGUGGGACUUUUCGGUGACCUGACAUGUUUAAAUAUCAACAUAUUAUUAUAAUAUUUGUAAGUCCUAGUAAUAUACUCAUACAUAUGUUCUCUGCUUAUAAUGUAAAGGCAUUUAUGAAAAAUUGUCAGUAUAAGGCAGGCCUGAGAAGUUUGUAGUAGGAUAUAUACCAUUGGUAACUUUAUAAGCCAAUCAAAAAAGAAGUUAUCUUGAUACAACUAGUCAAACUUAUUAAUCGGUCUACAUAUAUAUAUGUAUUUGCUAAAGAAAAUUUGAAAUGAUAAUUGGCACAACUUGUGUUUUAUUUCUAAAAACUUGAUUAGAUCAAAUUGAUGGUUCAGUUACAAGCACAGUAGUUACAUACAAAGUUACUCUAAAGUUUGUACAAUAUUUGGUGAAUUUAACUCGUGACAUUUGGAUGAAAGAUGAGAAAUACACUUUUUCAGGAGUUGGCUCAAAAUCAUUUUUUUUUUUAUGAAAUAUAAACAAAUUUGAUUGAGAUGCAACAUACUUGUUUUUAUUAAAAUCAUGCACAAACAAUAAUAAAACUAAUUUUGAUUUUAUUGGUUUAGAAAGAUGCAACAGAACAGAGAUAAUUUUGUAACUCGGUAAAUGACUUUCUGAAGUGUCAAUCAGUUGUAAAUUUAUUUACCUGUAAUAUCAUUUACAAGACACUGCCUUCAUUUGUGUUUACAUAUCAUUUCUUUAUCCUGUCACAAUGAAUGUCCAUUUUAAGUUCUGGACUUCAAGCAGAACAAGUUUGGGAUUUUUGUCUGGAUAUUGGUGCUUGAUAUACAUAUAUGUAUCCAGACUGCGAACAGAAAAUGGGUAGAGUUUUCAUGUGGAAAAAUGUAAAUUUAGUUUCUAUUAUUAGUAUUUUUUUUUCAUGUGCCAAAGUGUUCCAAGGAUACCUACUCCGUGUAUGGUACAUAGCUAUUGUCUUAAGCUGAUAUAUAGUACAUACAGUACAUAAUGUAACUAAGGGGUGCUAGCUAGGGUAUCAUCCUUUGCUUACAAGUCAAAAUAGUUCCUGGUUAUUCCAGAAACUUCAAAUUCCAUGGUAUGCAAGAUUGUACAGCAGUGCAAAUCAGUUCCCUUUUUUCUGUAAUGAUGUUUACAAAUGCUUCCUUGUGUUGAUGAGAAUGUUUUACUGUAUGUCAAUAUAUAAGUAUAUUUUGUGGUGUUUAAUCGAUAGACUGGUUAAAAACAUACAUAUCAUGUCGCAGUAGCAUUAACUUAAUGCUUUAUAUGCAUUUGUUCUCACUUCAUGUUAUGAGAUUGUUAAUAUAUAUAUUUUUCUGUUGUAUCUUGCUAAAAUAUUACAUUAAUUGAUGUAUUUAAUUUCCUACAAUAUAUUCAAGUAGAAAUUUAAGUACACUUUAGUUUAGAGAGAUAAACAUUCUGCUUUAUUUUACUACUUUGCUUUAUGUACCAUUAGUGCCUAAUGGUGGUUGUGACAGCUUGAUAAUUGGAUGUCAUUCAAUUAAACAAAAUUUAGUGAUAUUAAAUACAGAUAAUUGUUGUUAAAUAUAUAAAUAUAUUUUUAAGAUAUUUCUUAUAGGUAUUAAGAUAAUACAUGUGAUAUAAAAAAAAAACAUCUAUUUACAAACACUUUCAAAAAUCAAUCUAAGUGAUGGAAUUCAUUUAUCUCAAAAUGUAAUCAGAAAGAAAAUUUUAUUUUUAAAAAAUUCUUCAUAAUCAAAAUUUCAAACACAAAUGCAGCAUACUAGAAUUUAUCUGUUCAUUGUUAACUCGUGUGAAACAUUCCUUUUAUUUUAUAGGUUGAUGUACUUGUUUAGUAUCAAGUUUCUGUUGAGUAUUGUUCAACAGUUUAUUGUAAAGCUUUAGUUUGUAUUUUGGUAAAUACUGUCACUAUUUUAAAAUUGUAUUUGCCAAGAAAAUGUGCUAUUUUUAUGAAUAAAAAAAGUACAGAACUCA